rnacentral:rRNA from 1 species
GACGAACGCUGGCGGCGUGCUUAACACAUGCAAGUCGAACGAAGAGCGAUGGAAGCUUGCUUCUAUCAAUCUUAGUGGCGAACGGGUGAGUAACGCGUAAUCAACCUGCCCUUCAGAGGGGGACAACAGUUGGAAACGACUGCUAAUACCGCAUACGAUCCAAUCUCGGCAUCGGGACUGGAUGAAAGGUGGCCUCUAUUUAUAAGCUAUCACUGAAGGAGGGGAUUGCGUCUGAUUAGCUAGUUGGAGGGGUAACGGCCCACCAAGGCGAUGAUCAGUAGCCGGUCUGAGAGGAUGAACGGCCACAUUGGGACUGAGACACGGCCCAGACUCCUACGGGAGGCAGCAGUGGGGAAUCUUCCGCAAUGGACGAAAGUCUGACGGAGCAACGCCGCGGGAGUGAUGACGGCCGUCGGGUUGUAAAGCUCUGUUAAUCGGGACGAAUGGUUCUUGUGCGAAUAGUGCGAGGAUUUGACGGUACCGGAAUAGAAAGCCACGGCUAACUACGUG